AUUGAACGCUGGCGGCAUGCCUUACACAUGCAAGUCGAACGGUAACAGGUUAAGCUGACGAGUGGCGAACGGGUGAGUAAUACAUCGGAACGUGCCCAGACGUGGGGGAUAGCUCGGCGAAAGCCGGAUUAAUACCGCAUAAGCUCUGAGGAGGAAAGCGGGGGACCGUAAGGCGUCGCGCGUGUGGAGCGGCCGAUGGCAGAUUAGGUAGUUGGUGGGGUAAAGGCUUACCAAGCCUACGAUCUGUAGCUGGUCUGAGAGGACGACCAGCCACACUGGGACUGAGACACGGCCCAGACUCCUACGGGAGGCAGCAGUGGGGAAUUUUGGACAAUGGGCGAAAGCCUGAUCCAGCAAUGCCGCGUGCAGGAUGAAGGCCUUCGGGUUGUAAACUGCUUUUGUACGGAACGAAAAGGCGCCUACUAAUACUGGGUGUUGAUGACGGUACCGUAAGAAUAAGCACCGGCUAACUACGUGCCAGCCGCCGCUGUAA
rnacentral:rRNA from 1 species